AUUGAACGCUGGCGGCAGGCCUAACACAUGCAAGUCGAACGAGUGGCGGACGGGUGAGUAAUGUCUGGGAAACUGCCCGAUGGAGGGGGAUAACUACUGGAAACGGUAGCUAAUACCGCAUACCAUCGGAUGUGCCCAUAUGGGAUUAGCUAGUAGGUGGGGUAACGGCUAACCUAGGAGACGAUCUCUAACUGGUAUGAGAGGAUGACCAGACACACUGGAACUGAGACACGUUCCAGACUCCUACGGGAGGCAGCAGUGGGGAAUAGUGCACAAUGGGCGCAAGCCUGAGGCAGCCAUGCCGCGUGUAUGAAGAAGGCCUUCGGGUUGUAAAGUACUUUCAGCGAGGAGGCGUUACCCGCAGAAGAAGCACCGGCGAACUCCGUGCCAGCAGCCGCGGUAAUAC
rnacentral:rRNA from 1 species